rnacentral:rRNA from 1 species
UACGUAGGGGGCAAGCGUUGUCCGGAAUCAUUGGGCGUAAAGCGCGCGUAGGCGGCCCGGUAAGUCCGCUGUGAAAGUCAAAGGCUCAACCUUUGAAUGCCGGUGGAUACUGUCGGGCUAGAGUCCGGAAGAGGCGAGUGGAAUUCCCGGUGUAGCGGUGAAAUGCGCAGAUAUCGGGAAGAACACCCGUGGCGAAGGCGGUUCUCUGGGACGGUACUGACGCUGAGACGCGAAAGCGUGGGGAGCGAACAGG